rnacentral:rRNA from 1 species
UACGUAGGGGGCAAGCGUUGUCCGGAUUUAUUGGGCGUAAAGAGCGUGUAGGCGGCUUGGUAGGUCCGCUGUGAAAACUCGAGGCUCAACCUCGAGAUGUCGGCGGAAACGACUUGGCUAGAGUCCGGAAGAGGAGAGUGGAAUUCCUGGUGUAGCGGUGAAAUGCGCAGAUAUCAGGAAGAACACCUAUGGCGAAGGCAGCUCUCUGGGCCGGUACUGACGCUGAGGAGCGAAAGCGUGGGGAGCAAACAGG